rnacentral:miRNA from 1 species
UGUGUGUGUACAUAUAUAUGUGUGUACAUAUAUAUGUGUGUACAUAUAUAUAUGUACACACACACACACACACACACA